rnacentral:lncRNA from 14 species
UCCACCACGAUGCACACAAUGGGUUUGUAUCCAUCACAUCCCUUUUGGACAAGGGCCUGUAGGGCCAGGCCAAGGGGAAUGGCUUGAACCUGCCCAAGAGAGGGGAGACUGAGCUGAGCUCUGAGGCAGAAGCUGUUCCCUGGGAGGGUGCUGAGGCGCUGGCACAGGGUGCCCAGAGAAGCUGUGGCUGCCCCAUCCCUGGCAGUGCUCAAGGCCAGGUUGGACACAGGGGCUUGGAGCAGCUGCUCCAGUGGAAGGGGUCCCUGCCCAUGGAACUGGAUGGGAUUUAAGCUCCUUUCCAACCCAAACCAGUCUGGGAUCUAUGAUUCCAUGAUCAUCCCCUGUCCAUGCACUGGGUUUGCCCCCAUCACAUCACUUGUGACGGGUUCACCCUCCUGCAUCCCAACCACAGCUCUGGCAGCAGCAGGAUUCCCACAGCACCUGGUGCUGAGCACUUCCCUCUGCUUCCCCUGCAGGUCCUGAGCAGCCCCAGUGCAUGGGCCGGGAGCUGUGGUCCCCAGGACCAUGGGACACCAGGAUGUGCCCCAGGAGAGGAGCCCACUGGGGUAAGACACAGCACCAGGGGCAGAAGGUGCUGGAUCCAUCCAUCCCUCACCUCCCUCUCCCUCCAUGCAGGAAUGCGGCUCAAUGGGGCUGUGCAGACCUUGUCCCCCAGGCACCUUCUCACGAGGGGACACAUCCUGCUCCCCUCACACCAGCUGCAGGGAUGGCAACAGGAUCCUGGUGGCUCCGGGGACCGCAGGCACCGACAGCCGGUGUGGAUCCUGCCUGCCAGGGUGAGCCCAUGGGAUGGAUGCUGCAGCCCCAUAGCCCUGGUGCUGCUCAUGGGCCACAUCCUGACCCUGCUGUCCCACCCCACAGGUUUUACAGCCCUGAAGGGGGGAAGGAGCCUCGGGGCCGGUGCCUGCCUUGUGCCAGUGCUCCCCGCAGCACCCCAGGGUGCCGAGGCCGGCGGCGCAUCCGCAGCCCUGAAGCACUGGAGCAGCCGGUGGGGACCAAUGGGACAUGGGUGGCUCUGAUGGGUGAGGAAGAGGAGGAGGAGGCAGCAGCAGCACGAAGCGGCAGUGCUGACCAUCGUCCCGG